GGAGUUUGGUCCGUGUCUCAGUACCAAUGUGGGGGACCUUCCUCUCAGAACCCCUACUGAUCGUCGGCUUGGUGGGCCGUUACCCCGCCAACAACCUAAUCAGACGCAUCCCCAUCCCUUAGCGGUGAACCUUUGCUUUCCAUCAGAUGCCAUCCAGAAAGAACAUAGAGUAUUAAUCCGACUUUCGCCGGGCUAUUCUCUACUAUGGGGAAGGUUGGAUACGCGUUACUCACCCGUGCGCCGGUCGCCAUCAAAGUCAGCAAGCUGACUCCAUGCUGCCCCUCGACUUGCAUGUGUUAAGCCUGUAGCUAGCGUUCAUC
rnacentral:rRNA from 1 species